CCCUAGUAACUGCGAGUGAAGCGGGAAAAGCUCAAAUUUUAAAUCUGGCGGUCCUUUGCGGCCGUCCGAGUUGUAAUCUAGAGAAGUGCUUACCCGCGCUGGACCGUGUACAAGUCUCCUGGAAUGGAGCGUCAUAGAGGGUGAGAAUCCCGUCUUCGACACGGACUGCCAGGGCUUAUGUGGUGCGCUCUCGAAGAGUCGAGUUGUUUGGGAAUGCAGCUCUAAAUGGGUGGUAAAUUCCAUCUAAAGCUAAAUACAGGCGAGAGACCGAUAGCGAACAAGUACCGUGAGGGAAAGAUGAAAAGAACUUUGGAAAGAGAGUUAAACAGUACGUGAAAUUGCUGAAAGGGAAACGUUUGAAGUCAGUCGCGUUGGCUGGGGAUCAACCUUGCUCUUGCAGGGCGCACUCUCUGGUUUCGACGGGUCAGCAUCAGUUUUGGUCGCUGGAGAAAGGCUAGGGGAAUGUGGCAUCGCUUCGGUGAUGUGUUAUAGCCCUUGGUUGUAUGCAGCGGUUGGGACUGAGGAACUCAGCGCGCGCCUCUUCACGGGGGUGCCGGGUCUUUCGAGACCACGCUUACGCGCUUAGGAUGCUGGCAUAAUGGCUUUAAGCGACCCGUCUUGAAACACGGACCAAGGAGUCUAACAUGCUUGCGAGUGUUUGGGUGGAAAACCCGAGCGCGUAAUGAAAGUGAAAGUUGGGAACCCUGUCGUGGGGUGCACCGACGCCCGGACCAGACCUUCUUGUGACGGCUCCGCGGUAGAGCANGCAUGUUGGGACCCGAAAGAUGGUGAACUAUGCCUGAA
rnacentral:rRNA from 1 species